rnacentral:rRNA from 1 species
AUGGAUCAGGAGCUGCUUGAGCACCUUGAGGCCAAAGUGAGUGCUGACAGUGUGAGAUCACACCCUCUCAUCGACUUGUUCAUACCAACCAUCGACAGCGAGCACGGCAUAUGCUACACCCAUCCUGAGAAACUUCCAGGUAUCACACUGAGUGGCCUAAGCAAGCAUUUCUUCCAGCGCAAUUCCAGGGCGUUCAAAAGGGGCACGUGGACGCGUCGCAAGAUACAGUCGGAGUGUGGCAUGCACGCGAUGUGGCACAAGACCGAUAAUACCUUGCCGGUGAUGGUCAAUGACCGGCAGAUGGGCAGCAAAAAGAACUUCGACCAGCAGAGGACCAACUGGGUGAUGCACCAGUACCACGUCGGAGACCUGGAGAAAGAGAAGGAGCGGGAGCUGGUCGAGCAACUUUCAACUGGGCUGCAGACUGCCUAG